rnacentral:sRNA from 1 species
UGAACCUGCGGAUGGAUCAUUGUCGAGAUACUAAAUAUGGUCAGAAGAUUGUGAACUCGUGAACGAUUGAUGAUUAUGGUGGAGGGUUCAUCCUGAAGCCAAAGCCCCUACACACCCUGACUGGAAAGGGAGCGAUAGGCGUGGCACGGCGCAUGUGUGGGUGGGGCGCUAACAAAACUCGGCGCAACAAGCGUCAAGGAACGAGUAUGUGAAUACGACCCAUUGUCAUUAGUCGAUGCAGUGGUCUUAUGUUUCGUAGAGUAAUUUUAUGACUCUCGGCAACGGAUAUCUUGGCUCCCGAAUCGAUGAAGAACGUAGCGAAAUGCGAUACAUGAUUUGAAUUGCAGAAUCCCGUGAAUCAUCGAGUUUUUGAACGCAAGUUGCGCCCGAUGUCAUUCGGCAAAGGGCACGCCUGCCUGGGUGUCACGUCUUGCGUCGCUCGGUGCCAACUACGCCUGUGGGUCGAAAGUGUUGGCACGGAUGCGGAGAUUGGCCUCCCGUGUCCUUGUGCGCGCGGUAGGUUGAAGAGUGGGAUGCCAACGGACACGGACCCCUCCACCAGUGGAUCCGCGCCCGACCUCAUGGUGUCAUCCUUUAAACCCUCGGGGGCCCCUUGUCACACACCGCAUGGCUGCGCUGUUCGCGUUGCGCAGCAUUGUGACCCCAGGUCUGGUG